rnacentral:rRNA from 1 species
UACGUAGGGUGCGAGCGUUGUCCGGAAUUAUUGGGCGUAAAGAGCUUGUAGGCGGUCUGUCGCGUCUGCUGUGAAAAUCCGGGGCUCAACCCCGGACUUGCAGUGGGUACGGGCAGACUAGAGUGUGGUAGGGGAGACUGGAAUUCCUGGUGUAGCGGUGAAAUGCGCAGAUAUCAGGAGGAACACCGAUGGCGAAGGCAGGUCUCUGGGCCAC